GUGCUUGCUUCAGCAGCAUACAUACUAAAAUUGGAACAAUAUAGAGAAGAUUAGCAUGGCCUCUGCACAAGGAUAACACGCAAAUUCGUGAAGCAGUCCAGAAUUAU